AAUCUUGGACAGAUCAUGUUGCGUACGAGCAAUCUAAUCAGUUAUGGGCUUCGGAACGAAAUUCGAUUUGCAAUUUCGUAUGCGUCGUGUAAUACGGGAAACACGUUUGACCAUUUCAUCACAUGAUGCACACGUGCACACACGUGCAUAGGACGUGAUACGUGAUGUAUCAUACGAUUUAUCGCGCAUUUAGAAGUCCGCAUGCGUCCUUCGUUCCGCAUGAUGCACAAAAUUGCAAGCAGAAAUCCGUUCUGAAAUUUUCCGUCAAUCAUACACGGACUGAAGCGAGCUUUUGUCAAAGUGUAUAAUCUGAAGCUAUCAUUUGCAAGAAUUGACCAGUUCGACGAGUUCGGCAAGUUUGACCAAACAUGAAGCAGGCAAUGCAUGAAAUUCGGCAGAAGUAAGCUCGAAAUGAACGACAACUGGCUUGUGCAGACCGCUAUUUUGAGAUGCAAUAUAAGAUCACGACGUAAGUGUAACAUUAAAUGACAAAAUUGUAUCCUGACUUCCUCAAGGGAGAUUAUUAUACAUUUAAUUUGCAAC